rnacentral:tRNA from 1 species
GGUUCGGUAGCUCAGCCUGGAUAGAGCACCUGCCUUCUAAGCAGGGGGUCGCAAGUUCGAAUCUUGUCCGAGCCA